AUUUUGCAGCACUUUGAGCACUUCACUUUCCAUGUGAGCUAUGAAAAAGCCCCAUUUGAGCAGUAUCCCGCUGUCUUCUGACCCCCAAGAGUGCUCUUAUCUCUGGAGAAGCUGUGCAAGCUCGAUUGCUGAGUCACCUUUCAUGGGAGGCUGCCCUUAUCUCCUGAGAAGCACAACAUUUAAGCGGUUGGUUACAAAAGGAGGAACUUUGGGCAGGAGCACCCUGUUGCCUGCCAUGUCUUCAUGGCCAUAAUAUGGAUUGCAGCAACACUUCCUCAAAGCUUCACGGCACUCCGUCUCUGGUGGUCAGCUUUUUCUUACAUGUGGAGGUGUGACGUGCUGCAGAAUUGGACGGCCUGAAUGUUUGGGCCACGCCUGAAAAUGUGACUCAGCGCAUAUUAAGAAAAGAGUGUCCAUUAAUGAAGUUCUUGCUCGCUGAUCGCUGCAAGCCCUCUUAGGAUUUCGUCUCUCCCCAUUUUUCAGGUCACGUUAUAUCACCUGCAAUCAAACUGCACUGAACUCUGUGUUUCCUCAGAUUUAACUCAUGGAAACCAUGUUGCUGUAAUUAAUAUCACCACCUUGCAGGUCUCAAAACAUCAUCAGGUAGUGGUGACGCUCGACUAGCGAACAAUAGGCUCGGGACGGUUCUUAUUUCAUGGAUCUUUAAGCAGUAUUCACUGUCUCACUUUUGGAAGCACAGGCAGCAUGUAACCCUUAAUUGGUUUCAACACCUUAAUAAGUCAAAUACGUUCAACACUGAUAAUCACAUUAAAUAGUCCAAUUUAUCUAAAAAGUCAA